CGCCCAGCCCAAAAGUACUUUUUCAGACAGCAUCAGAGUCUGAUAUUAUUACAAAAAUUUAAGAAUAUUUAAUACCACAUCUAGAACAUAAUAGGCACUAGAUAAAUGACAUCUAUUAACAGCAUCUAAACAUGAGGUAGUAUUAGUUAGGUUUCAGAGAAUUACUUGGAGUGAGCAAAGGAAGCCAUUUUUUCCAAGAGGAGGGAAGAGAAUGAGGAUGAUUAAGCCAAGAAAAAAGAAAAAUAAUAGAUCAGUGGACCCCAUUUUACACAUUUCCCUCGUGGGUUGACCACCUGUUUUUCUACCAUCUUAGCACUUGGGGAAAACUCUCUUGGAGAUGGGCUUACUAGCAGCAGGAAGAAGCAAGACUGAUUCAUUUGACCAUGAAGGAUGUGAGAUGCUGGAAUCCGGAAGUGAAGCAGGGUGUGGUAACCACACUCCCAGGACCUCUCAGCACCUGGUCAGGCCAAGCAGUUGCUGGGCUGGGCUGGGCUAUUGCUGCCCUGAGGCAGAAAAGUGAGCCGAGAACUUGAAGGAAUUAGAUAACCUGCCCUUCCCCUCACCCAUUAGUUCCCAAUCAGGUCUUCAGAAUCCCCUUGACUGAUGCUCAGAACUUCAGCUUCUGGCAGUCCCAUGAUCCAGGAGUGCGUCCAGAGGAAACCAUGCCAUGGAUCCGGAGCCCACGCCACUGUCUCAUAAAAAGCGAGAUGACCAGGUUUAUGGAUCACUCUAUUCUCAAUGACAGAACCUUCAGUCUGUAUUAAGAAGAUAUGGCUGCAGAAAGACAAGAGGAAUUGUGGCAAGAGUGCAAAGGGGGGGAAAGAAGGAGGUUUCCCAGUUCCGAUGGCUAACUAAUGGGAGGAGGAUAUGGAGAAAGCAGAGUAAACAGAUUGGACUAAAAGUUGCUUGUGUGCACGGCGAGAGCUGUGGGGUCAGGGUGGGAGUGAUUCCAGUGUCCAGGUUGUUGUGAGAGCUGGUGUGUGGGAGAUUCCUGAAUGAGCCAGACCUUAGAGUGAGAAGUCUGUGAGGGGCCAAGGCACUGGAAAGCACCACAGGCCUCAUGCGUGGCAGGGGUCACACACAAAUCUGGGAAGGCAUAUACUGGAGCUCAUGAUGCUGAAAGGCCUUGAGUAGUCACACACUCUGAAGAUACUACAGCUUCUCCUUAGCAGGGAGAAAGCCACAGGAAGUCCUCUGACCACAGAUGAGAGGCCCACGGAGCCCUGGGGCAGGAGGUCGCCCCCUUCACCAGGCUCUGUCACUUCUGACCCACCCAGGGCCCAGAACAGCUACAGAGAACAGGGAAUUUUACAAAGAGUUUGAUUUUAUUGAUAUUUAAAUAUAUUAAAUAUUUCACUGAAAUACAUGGUACACCAUCCUCCCUCACCCCCACAGUGGUUACAUUACAAAACCAAAGCCCAUGGCCUCCCAUCUCCUGACUCCUCCACCAACUGGGUGAGGAAAGGGGCAAUGGUUGCCCAGGGGAAGGGCAUGGCUGGCACUGUGGUACGGGGAGCCAGGGUGUGGACAGGCCCUCCCACCUGGCAAAAAGCAGAGACAAGCCACCCAAGGCUGAGGUCUUCCCACUCUGAUCUACUUAUACCCUCACCCCUACCCCAUGGCACCAAGUAGUCUCUUCCUAUCCCUUCCUAUCCAGGGCUAUGGCUGGGGGCAGGGGAGUAGACUUUCUGUCUGGAAAAACAAGUCUUUUCCCCUCCUUCUGCCAUGACUAAUGAAGUACCUGAUGGCCCAUUUGGUUGAUGCAUGAAGAUGCCCAAGGGAGGCAGUACCCAGAAACCAGGCCUCCACAGGGAGCUGGUGUCAGAGGGGCAUGAGGAGGGGCAAGUGCACUGCCUGCCCCUUCCACUCCCAAACCCAGUAACUCUGGAAACCCUUCUCCUCUGCCUCUCUAGUCAUUUCCAAGACAAAGUGAUCUUCAAGCAAAAUUCAGGCUAGUGCCUUUGGCUUAAAUAGGUACAGACAGAGAAACUGAGGGACCAACAAAUUCAGGCCACAGUCAAAGAGGUUGCAGGGAAAGGGGUAAAAGGAAGGCAAAGAUAGGAAGGGAAUCUAGAGUUCAACCUCCUAACCCUUCUGCCAGCCCCCAAGGUUUCACAAGGGGCUGGGGAGCCAGAAACAUGCUAGACUCAGGCUGAAGACUGGAGAAAGCCAAGUUUAAGGUUCCUCUUCCCCACCCAAUAGUACCAGUAUCCGGGUCCUCAGAGGGAUUCCAUGCUACCCCAGCCCCAAAGCAUACCAUGUCCCAGGACACUAUCUGGGGAAGCCAGGAAAUUCCUGAGCCUCUGUCCAUCAAACCCCAGACAGUUCAAGUGCUAGCAUGGAGCACUGGGGCUCAAGCAAGCGCUUGGGUCCCUGCCACAGACAGGGAGAGUCAUGCUGCACACAUGGCCCCCAAACGGCACUUAGGGAUUUGGCACAAAAAGGACUCCUCUCCCUCCUUUUGCUACCACACCCCAUCCCACUCCUGUGUAAUCUGGGCAUCUCUCUACAUCCCCUGAAAUAGGAAACCCUGCUUUAUUCCCAGAAGACAGAGGCCCACAGGAGAGACGCAACCUGGGGUGGAGAGCUGAGGAGCAGGAGCACAAGGACUCACACAGACCUGGAAAACAGAUAUGCACACAAAGACCAACAUGCACACACA